UACGUAGGGGGCAAGCGUUGUCCGGAUUUAUUGGGCGUAAAGAGCGUGUAGGCGGCCAGGUAGGUCAGCUGUGAAAACUCGAGGCUCAACCUCGAGAUGUCGGCUGAAACCAUCUGGCUAGAGUCCGGAAGAGGAGAAUGGAAUUCCCGGUGUAGCGGUGAAAUGCGCAGAUAUCGGGAAGAACACCCGUGGCGAAGGCGGUUCUCUGGACCGGUACUGACGCUGAGGCGCGAAAGCGUGGGGAGCAAACAGG
rnacentral:rRNA from 1 species